UGGGAAUCUACCUUUUGCUACGGAAUAACUCAGGGAAACUUGUGCUAAUACCGUAUGUGCCCUUCGGGGGAAAGAUUUAUCGGCAAAGGAUGAGCCCGCGUUGGAUUAGCUAGUUGGUGGGGUAAAGGCCCACCAAGGCGACGAUCCAUAGCUGGUCUGAGAGGACGGGAGGCAGCAGUGGGGAAUAUUGGACAAUGGGCGCAAGCCUGAUCCAGCCAUGCCGCGUGAGUGAUGAAGGCCCUAGGGUUGUAAAGCUCUUUCACCGGUGAAGAUAAUGACGGUAACCGGAGAAGAAGCCCCGGCUAACUUCGUGCCAGCAGCCGCGGUAAUACGAAGGGGGCUAGCGUUGUUCGGAUUUACUGGGCGUAAAGCGCACGUUUUUAAGUCAGGGGUGAAAUCCCAGAGCUCAACUCUGGAACUGCCUUUGAUACUGGAAGUCUUGAGUAUGGUAGAGGUGAGUGGAAUUCCGAGUGUAGAGGUGAAAUUCGUUUCCGCCUGGGGAGUACGGUCGCAAGAUUAAAACUCAAAGGAAUUGACGGGGGCCCGCAC
rnacentral:rRNA from 2 species